ensembl:ncRNA F26C11.5 ncRNA
GACUAAUUUGAAACGAGAAAUUCGAGAUGGAUCACCAGUCAAUUUGUUUU